UGACAGUCUGGUCUGGAAUGAUUGACAGGUCCUACGGAGAAGGCAGCAGAGACUCUGCUCUCCUCGUUUGUAUUAAUUCUGAUAUAAUGACUGUUGGUUUAUUUAUCGGUGCAGCAGCAGAACAUUUUCCACAGACAGUUUUCCUGCCCGUUGGCUUGUUUUAACCAGUUUUCUGCCUCCAGCUGAUUCUACCAGCAGACACUGAAAGGACUCUGAUAGUUCGGUGUCUCAUGUUCACUGUGAGGAUCUUCUGAGUGAAGCGACCAGCAGAAAAAAACCUCAUCUGGAUGUGAAGGAGACUAAAUGGACGACAUCCUCAGUGAACCACUUCCUGUUUAGCUUUCACUUACAGAAGAGUGAAAGUAGCAGUUCCUCCUGAAGGUCAGAGAUUGCAGCAUCUGAGGGCCUCUUCAAAAGAAGACGGAGUUGAUGAAGGCGUUCUGGAGCAGGACCAGAAACACCACGACCAAGCAGCCUUGAGAUCUUAGACAGCGUCUCCCUCAGGUCCCUCUCUAUCUCCCCACACAUCCACCAACCACUGGAACACAUCUCCAAAGUUCUGCUGGACCAGCUCAGCUUCCCCUCAGAAGAAGUGCUGCCACCUGCCAGAUGAAGGAGCCUUUUGAGAGGCAGCUGGCAUCGUGAUUGGACUGUACUUUGGUCUGUUCCAAUCCAGCUUCAGCUCCAGAGACGGCAGGCGGGACGAGUCAACGGAGGCCUGGUGGAUGAAGGCAUGCAGCUGAGUACAAUCCAGAAAGAGACAUACAUUGUAGAAUUGUAGUAAUUGUGGGCUGACUGAUUUACUGAUUAUCAGUAUUUUAUUUUUUACCGAUUUACGAUAAUAAAUAAAUUUAAAAAUGGCGCUACUUUGGCUCUGAACCUUUAUCUACCUGUGGUCGCUCUGUCUUCUGGAGUGAUUUGAUUGGUUAUACGUCACGAAUAAAACUCCUUUAACUUAACAUCUGUAAACAAAACAAAAACGUAUCAACAAAGUUUUCUGUUAGAGUUUGUGUUCUUCUAAGUUUAACUCCAAGAUUUUAAAUACUUUCAUUUACUGCAAAUGAAUAUCUACUCCAAAUGUCUCACUAAUAAUCAUUAUCAGCAUUAAAAACCCACAAAACACCCCUUUAUACUUGACCACACUUAGUACAGUCCGGUUCCCUCUUCUAUAAAUCUGCUUGGAAUCUUCCACUUCCUGUUUGUCAAAGUGGCCUUCUACCUGGACAGGUUUUGUUGGAGCUCAUGCAACAAACAUUUUGGGUAACUGCACUUUAAUAUGGAUGGAUGACACUGAAUUAGACUCUGUUUUAAUGAGACUGAGUUCAGAUGUGUAGCUCUGUCGUUAAAUAGGAAAUUAUUUCCCAGAAUUCACAGAGAAAAGUCUGAAAUAUUUGCUAGGUUAGCGUCCCACAUGUUCUUUGACUCAGCUAAAGCUAACUCUCUCCAACUUCUGGAUCUCUUGAGUUGCUUGUUGUUAAAAUAUCUUGCUAGAGGUGCUGAAGCUCAGAAAGUCUGAGAUGUUUGUUCAGAAUAAGCUCAUUCUCAAGUCUGAUCUGAACUGUCCUCUUUUGUUUGAACUUUCCCUAAACUUAGGAGUUAAUGACAGAGCAGCACAUCCAGACUCAGUCUCAUUUAUGUAGAGAUUAAACUUCAGUGUCAUUCAUUGAUGUUAAAGUGCAGUUUUUCAAACGUUUGUUGCACAUGCUCCCGACCAAACCAGUCCAGGUGGAAGAUGAUGUGAAGAGAAAGCUCCAGAGGAUGAAUAUCACACAUUUACGUUGGAAGUAAAUGUCCUUUAAUUAGACAUUGUCAUGCAAAAGUUGGAUUUCCCUUUAAUGGUGUUCAAAUCUUUGUUGAGUGUUUUAUUGAUGUUGGUUUCUAAAUGUUUUCUGACACUCGGCCCCAAAGAUUAAAACCUUUUACUGCUCACAAGCUGCAACAAUUCACACAUUAUCAACUAUCUUUCUGACUAAACUAAGGUAAAAAAUGAAAAACUGCCUGAUUCCUGCAUCAUGAAUGUAAAUGUUUUUGGUUUUUAUGACAGUAAACUGAAUAUAUUUGGGUUUGACAUUUUAUAAACCAAAUCAAGAAAUGAAUUAGUGGAGAAAACAACAGAUUAAUGGACAAAGAAAAUGUGUUUUCUAACAUAUAUGGCUGAAUUACUACAACAUUACAAGAUACAUACAAUUUUAAUUCAAUUUUAUUUAUAUAACGUCAAUUACAGGUCAAAUUGUCUCAAGACGCUUUAUUUUUAUAUUUUUUUUCAUUUAAAAUAUGACAAAAUAAGAAAUGUAAAGCUCUUGACUAAUCCAAUUUAUUAUUUGGUUUUUAAGAGACUAAUUGACAACUAAAAUAAUUUUCUCCACUAAAACUAAUAAACAUGAGGUCAAAUAGAAGGAAGAGUUUUAAAUACUGCAGUCCCACGACGACAAGAAUAAAGUUUGUCAACAAAAACUAAAUCUGCUGGUGGAUUCCAUUAAAGUCCUAAUAAAUUAUAAUAAAGUGUGAUACUAAAGGUUUGUGGUGCUAAAAAUCUCAAAGUAAAGAUAUCGAGUUGAACAUCUGGAUGGAGGGUGAUAAAAGUUGACCUCCCUUCAUUUCUGUGGAGCGACUCCAUGGAUUUUAUGGAUGUUGGUUAAAGACCUGCUCUUCUAGUGGUCUUCCUUCUAGUCGCUGUAAAAAGUCAGUCCAUCUUGGCCUCUUCAUGACAACUUGUUCUGCCUCCGACCUGGUGGAAACUCCAGAAACUCGGGAAAACCUGUGGAGACUCGAAGAACUCCUGGAGACUCGAAGAACUCGUGGAGA